rnacentral:rRNA from 1 species
UACACGACCGUACCGCAAACCGACACUGGUGCGCGAGAUGAGUAUUCUAAGGCGCUUGAGAGAACUCAGGUGAAGGAACUCGGCAAAUUGACACCGUAACUUCGGAAGAAGGUGUGCCUUUAGUAGGUGAACCAUUUACUUGGGGAGCCCAAUGAGGCUGCAAAAAAUCGGUGGCUGCAACUGUUUAUUAAAAACACAGCACUCUGCUAAGACGAAAGUCGACGUAUAGGGUGUGACGCCUGCCCGGUGCUGGAAGAUUAAAUGAUGGGGUGCAAGCUCUUGAUUGAAGUCCCAGUAAACGGCGGCCGUAACAAUAACGGUCCUAAGGUAGCGAAAUUCCUUGUCGGGUAAGUUCCGACCUGCACGAAUGGCGUAAUGAUGGCCACACUGUCUCCUCCUGAGACUCAGCGAAGUUGAAAUGUUUGUGAUGAUGCAAUCUCCCCGCGGAAAGACGGAAAGACCCCAUGAACCUUUACUGUAGCUUUGUAUUGGACUUUGAACAGAUCUGUGUAGGAUAGGUGGGAGGCUUUGAAGUGUGGUCGCUAGAUCGCAUGGAGCCAACGUUGAAAUACCACCCUGGUGUGUUGAGGUUCUAACCUAGGUCCAUUAUCUGGAUCGGGGACAGUGCAUGGUAGGCAGUUUGACUGGGGCGGUCUCCUCCCAAAGUGUAACGGAGGAGUUCGAAGGUACGCUAGGUACGGUCGGACAUCGUGCUAAUAGUGCAAUGGCAUAAGCGUGCUUAACUGCGAGACUGACAAGUCGAGCAGAUGCGAAAGCAGGACAUAGUGAUCCGGUGGUUCUGUAUGGAAGGGCCAUCGCUCAACGGAUAAAAGGUACUCUGGGGAUAACAGGCUGAUACCGCCCAAGAGUUCAUAUCGACGGCGGUGUUUGGCACCUCGAUGUCGGCUCAUCUCAUCCUGGGGCUGUAGCCGGUCCCAAGGGUAUGGCUGUUCGCCAUUUAAAGAGGUACGUGAGCUGGGUUUAAAACGUCGUGAGACAGUUUGGUCCCUAUCUUCCGUGGGCGCUGCAGAUUUGAGGAAGCCUGCUCCUAGUACGAGAGGACCGGAGUGGACGAACCUCUGGUGUAUCGGUUGUCACGCCAGUUGCAUUGCCGAGUAGCUAAGUUCGGAAGAGAUAACCGCUGAAAGCAUCUAAGCGGGAAACUCGUUUCAAGAUUAGAUCUGCCGGGGCCUUGAGCCCCCUAAAGAGUCGUUCAAGACCAGGACGUUGAUAGGUCAGGUGUGGAAGCG